ACAUACUUCUUUAUGUACCCAUAUGAACAUUCAGUGCUAUGGAAUGUAAAGAAGUAUGUAU
rnacentral:pre_miRNA from 1 species